GAUGAACGCUGGCGGCGUGCCUAACACAUGCAAGUCGAGCGAACGGACGAGAAGCUUGCUUGUCUGAUGUUAGCGGCGGACGGGUGAGUAACACGUGGAUAACCUACCUAUAAGACUGGGAUAACUUCGGGAAACCGGAGCUAAUACCGGAUAAUAUUUUGAACCGCAUGGUUCAACAGUGAAAGACGGUCUUGCUGUCACUUAUAGAUGGAUCCGCGCUGCAUUAGCUAGUUGGUAAGGUAACGGCUUACCAAGGCAACGAUGCAUAGCCGACCUGAGAGGGUGAUCGGCCACACUGGAACUGAGACACGGUCCAGACUCCUACGGGAGGCAGCAGUAGGGAAUCUUGCGCAAUGGGCGAAAGCCUGACGGAGCAACGCCGCGUGAGUGAUGAAGGUCUUCGGAUCGUAAAACUCUGUUAUUAGGGAAGAACAGAUGUGUAAGUAACUGUGCACGUCUUGACGGUACCUAAUCAGAAAGCCACGGCUAACUACGUG
rnacentral:rRNA from 1 species